AACGAACGCUGGCGGCAUGCCUAACACAUGCAAGUCGAACGAGACCUUCGGGUCUAGUGGCGCACGGGUGCGUAACGCGUGGGAACCUGCCCUUAGGUUCGGAAUAACUCCCCGAAAGGGGUGCUAAUACCGGAUAAUGUCUUCGGACCAAAGAUUUAUCGCCUUUGGAUGGGCCCGCGUUGGAUUAGCUAGUUGGUAGGGUAAAAGCCUACCAAGGCGACGAUCCAUAGCUGGUCUGAGAGGAUGAUCAGCCACACUGGGACUGAGACACGGCCCAGACUCCUACGGGAGGCAGCAGUGGGGAAUAUUGGACAAUGGGCGAAAGCCGGAUCCAGCAAUGCCGCGUGAGUGAUGAAGGCCUUAGGGUUGUAAAGCUCUUUUACCCGGGAUGAUAAUGACAGUACCGGGAGAAUAAGCUCCGGCUACCUCCGU
rnacentral:rRNA from 1 species